AUUGCGUUACAAAUCAAAACCUACACCAAUCCCAUUUAUUGAAAUCGAAUAUUCUAUUAACAUAUGUAUAUACUAUAUAUCGUUUGCAGUUAAGCUCGUCUUCAACCUGUUUUUUUUGUGGCUAACAAAGAAGAAAGUUCACGCUGACUCAGCGCUUUUGUGGCAGCACUCGAAAUUCAAGUUAAUGUAAGCAUAGACGAGAGAGAGGGCAGGUGUAUUUGGGGAACUCACACGAUCGCGGCAAGGUUAAGUUUUGUCAAGGUCUGCGAAUUCUUCAGCGAGCGCUGCUCGAAAGAAUCUCAACUGCACUCGGAAACAAAUAUUAUCACGUGUGAAUGUGUGUGGCUCAGCAUGUGACAAAAUAAUGUCCAAAAACCCAUAAACUUCAAACUUACAGCUUGCGAAAUAACCAAAAAAAAAAACCAGUUACAAAGCUGCAACACGACGUGAAAAAUACUCUAUUUAAAAAUGUGACUGUUCAAAAUGGAUUCUAUUGCGAUAUUUUAUAACGAUUAUUAGUCAGUCUACAAUUUAGUAUUUUUUGGCAGCCUCGUCGUCAUAAUAUACUACAAUGAGUGUUUUA